rnacentral:tRNA from 1 species
UGGCUCAGUGGUAGAGUGCUUGCCUUGCAAGCAUGGGAUCCUGGGUUCAAUUCCUCAG